CCUACGGGUGGCUGCAGUGAGGAAUAUUGGUCAAUGGCCGCAGGGCUGAACCAGCCAAGUCGCGUGAGGGAUGACGGUCCUAUGGAUUGUAAACCUCUUUUGUCAGGGAGCAAAGGGCGCCACGUGUGGCGUUUUGCGAGUACCUGAAGAAAAAGCAUCGGCUAACUCCGUGCCAGCAGCCGCGGUAAUACGGAGGGUGCAAGCGUUGUCCGGAAUCAUUGGGCGUAAAGAGUUCGUAGGCGGCAUGUAAAGUCAGGUGUUAAAGGCGCAGGCUCAACCUGUGUAUGGCACUUGAUACUUGCAAGCUGGAAUGCGGUAGAGGUAAAGGGAAUUCCUGGUGUAGCGGUGAAAUGCUUAGAUAUCAGGAGGAACAUCGGUGGCGUAAGCGCUUUACUGGGCCGUAAUUGACGCUGAGGAACGAAAGCCAGGGUAGCAAAUGGGAUUAGAUACCCGGGUAGUC
rnacentral:rRNA from 1 species